GCUCAUUCAAUGUCUGGAGCAAGCUUUCUGCACUCCACUGCCGGUGCUUUCUGGCUUCAAAAGCAGCUUCGAGACUGAGGAAUAGUAGACAGGAUUAGAAUAAGGCCCGGGAGUUCUACAACUCUGCUGAAUUCAAAAGGACCAUGAUCUUGGUCAGCUAAACCACACCCGAUGGCCAAGGGGCAGAGGAAAAGAUGGCAGAGUAGAGACUCUUGGACUUACUCAUUUGGAUUUUGGAGUUUUACCUGACUUGGUCAAGCCUCAUGCCAGAUCCAGGUGAGUAGCUGCCUGGGCUAAAAAGCUGUCAGUCGAAUCUCGUUUCUGCCAACCUUGACAGAUGAUUCACUGUGAUCCUUAUUUCUUCUCUUUUUGCCUCGAUGUAGGCACUAGGGGUGACUUGCAAUCUCCCAGCAGAGUCUAUUCUGGCCACCUGCUGGGGGAGAAGCUGGCCAACCUCUACAAAGGAAUUGUAUUGAUGUGUAGGAAUUGGGGGAAGGGAG
rnacentral:lncRNA from 1 species